UUCCUGCAACUUUUCUUUUCUUUUUCAAUGCCCCUUGGCAAUCAUUAUUUCGCCUGACCGUUUGACCUUUUUUCUUUUGAACAUCUUGAGUAUAGGUUCACCCGUGACUAUUAGAUGAGAUGUGAACCAUGACAGGUAGUUCAAUCCUUCUAAGAAACCACGAACCUCUCUUUUCUUUUUCUCGGUUCAGGCACUUUGUUUUUUUUUUUUUAAAUUUUUUUUUUUAGCGGGAACCUCGAUUCCUCUCUGACACUGAACCCCAACAUCUUACCGGAUCGCACUCUGAACGUGCAUUUA
rnacentral:lncRNA from 1 species